rnacentral:lncRNA from 1 species
CGAGGGGCUGAAGGGUUUGCUGAGUAUCCCCAUUAAAAGCUUCAAGAUUUGGGGAACCUUAUUCACGCCAUUUAUCCACCUACCAGGUUGCACUGACUGAAAACAGAGCUUAAUCCCCCACCUCCCCCAUCCCAAGAGCUCCUGGUCUAAUGGAAGAGACAGAGGAGACAGGCGUUCAAUACACACAGGGUCAGUUUGGCAGCCCUCUCUGUGUUCAAGAGGAGCAGUGGAUGUUUGGCACAGGCCCUGGGCUGUAUCUGUCCAUCUUCAACAUGACAAGGUCAAACAUGGGCUGUACAAGUCAUCUCAUGUCACCCGCACAGACAGAAAAUGACAGAAAAACAUUUGCUG